ACACCCAUGGUGAGGGCACCUUCUCAAUAAGUCUUUGCAUCUCUCCCAUGCAUCAUAAAGUGUUUCUAAAUCCAUCUGGACAAAAGAAGAGAUAUCAUUCCUUAAUUU
rfam:Gossypium hirsutum cultivar TM-1 chromosome 8, whole genome shotgun sequence